rnacentral:lncRNA from 1 species
CGAUUUUGCUGAGAAGUUUCUGGUGAGUUUGGUUGGCACAUGAAAUGGAUCCGUUAAUGGCAUUUGAAUGCUGCACUCUGCUCCGUAAGAGUAAUCAAAGAAAAGUAACAGAAACCCUCUCUCUCUGAGGCUCCAUAUUUAGAGGCUAAUCUGUAGGUAUGCAACUAAAUGCUUCGCAUGCAUUUCAAUGAGGGGGGGUUGAGAAUUCAAUUCAAAG